rnacentral:rRNA from 1 species
CUUUAUUGGAGAGUUUGAUCCUGGCUCAGGAUGAACGCUGGCGGCGUGCCUAAUACAUGCAAGUCGAGCGGAUGGAUUAAGAGCUUGCUCUUAUGAAGUUAGCGGCGGACGGGUGAGUAACACGUGGGUAACCUG